AAACUCAAAGGAAUUGACGGGGAGCACCACAACAGGUGGAGCCUGCGGUUUAAUCGGACUCAACGCCGGGAAACUCACCAGAUAAGACAGCUGAAUGAUAGUCGGGCUGAAGACUCUACUUGACUAGCUGAGAGGUGGUGCAUGGCCGUCGUCAGUUCGUACUGUGAAGCAUCCUGUUAAGUCAGGCAACGAGCGAGACCCACGCCCACAGUUGCCAGCGUACUCUCUGGAGUGACGGGUACACUGUGGGACCGCCGCUGCUAAAGCGGAGGAAGGAAUGGGCAACGGUAGGUCAGUAUGCCCCGAAUAUCCCGGGCUACACGCGAGCUACAAUGGUUGGUACAAUGGGUAUCUACCCCGAAAGGGGACGGGAAUCUCCUAAAACCAAUCUUAGUUCGGAUUGAGGGCUGCAACUCGCCCUCAUGAAGCUGGAAUCCGUAGUAAUCGCGUUUCAACAGAACGCGGUGAAUACGUCCCUGCUCCUU
rnacentral:rRNA from 1 species